UGACCUCAAAUCGGGUGGGACUACCCGCUGAACCUAA
rnacentral:rRNA from 1 species